rnacentral:rRNA from 1 species
ACCCUUUAAUGUUUGAUGUUCUAACGUAGCCCCGUUAUCCGGGGUGCGGACAGUGUCUGGUGGGUAGUUUGACUGGGGCGGUCUCCUCCCAAAGAGUAACGGAGGAGCACGAAGGUUGGCUAAGCAUGGUCGGACAUCAUGCGGUUAGUGCAAAGGCAUAAGCCAGCUUGACUGCGAGAGUGACGGCUCGAGCAGGUACGAAAGUAGGUCUUAGUGAUCCGGUGGUUCUGAAUGGAAGGGCCAUCGCUCAACGGAUAAAAGGUACUCCGGGGAUAACAGGCUGAUACCGCCCAAGAGUUCAUAUCGACGGCGGUGUUUGGCACCUCGAUGUCGGCUCAUCACAUCCUGGGGCUGAAGUAGGUCCCAAGGGUACGGCUGUUCGCCGUUUAAAGUGGUACGCGAGCUGGGUUUAGAACGUCGUGAGACAGUUCGGUCCCUAUCUGCCGUGGGCGUUGGAAGAUUGAAAGGGGCUGCUCCUAGUACGAGAGGACCGGAGUGGACGCACCACUGGUGUUCGGGUUGUCAUGCCAAUGGCAUUGCCCGGUAGCUAAGUGCGGAAGAGAUAACCGCUGAAAGCAUCUAAGCGGGAAACUUGCCUUGAGAUGAGUCUUCCCUGACCCUUUAAGGGUCCUAAAGGAACGUUUAAGACUAAGACGU